UACAGAGGUCUCAAGCGUUGUUGGAUUCAUUGGGCGUAAAGGGUGCGUAGGUGGCGCCGUAAGUCGGGCGUGAAAUUUCGGAGCUUAACUCCGAAACUGCAUUCGAUACUGCGGUGCUUGAGGACUGGAGAGGAGACUGGAAUUCAUGGUGUAGCAGUGAAAUGCGUAGAGAUCAUGAGGAAGACCAGUGGCGAAGGCGGGUCUCUGGACAGUUCCUGACACUGAGGCACGAAGGCCAGGGGAGCAAACGGG
rnacentral:rRNA from 1 species